UGGGGAGUGGUCGAGCGGUAAGACGUCUGACUCUGGAUCAGAAGGCCGGAGGUUCGAAUCCUCCCUCCCCAG
rnacentral:tRNA from 1 species